rnacentral:rRNA from 1 species
CAACGUGGGUAACCUGCCCAAGAGACUGGGAUAACACCUGGAAACAGAUGCUAAUACCGGAUAACAACACUAGACGCAUGUCUAGAGUUUAAAAGAUGGUUCUGCUAUCACUCUUGGAUGGACCUGCGGUGCAUUAGCUAGUUGGUAAGGUAACGGCUUACCAAGGCAAUGAUGCAUAGCCGAGUUGAGAGACUGAUCGGCCACAUUGGGACUGAGACACGGCCCAAACUCCUACGGGAGGCAGCAGUU